rnacentral:rRNA from 1 species
AACGAACGCUGGCGGCAUGCCUAACACAUGCAAGUCGAACGAUUGCCGUCGGGUUUGAGUGGCGCACGGGUUCGUAACGCGUUGGAAACUGCCCUGAGGACCGGACUAACAGCUGGGAACGGCUGCUAAUACCGGAUGCUAUCGCGGGAUCAAAGUAUUAUCGCCAGUGGAUGAGCCUGCGUUGUACUAGGGAGUCGGUGGGGUAAAGGCCUACCAGGCCGACGAUCCAUAGCUGGUCUGAGAGGCUGAUCAGCCACACUGGGUAUGCGACACGACCCAGACUUCUACGAGAGGCAGCAGUGUGGAAUAGUGGAGACUGGGCGGAGGCGUGAUUCAGCAAUGCGUCGUGAGCUAUUGAGGCCCUAGAGUUGGUAUGCGCUUUUAACGGUGAAGAUGAGGCCUGUACCGGCAGAAUAAGCCCCGGCAAACUCGGU